rnacentral:rRNA from 1 species
CAUUUCUUCAUAUAUAUAUAUAAAGUACAGCCUGCCCACUGAAAUUAAUUUAAGGGCCGCAGUAUUCUAACUGUGCAAAGGUAGCAUAAUCACUAGUUCCUUAAUUAGGAAAAAGAAUGAAAGGCCUAACAUUUUAUUAUUUUCUUAGUAAUUAAAAAAAGAAAUUUAAAUUAACGUGAAAAUGCCUUAUUAUCAAUACAGGACGAUAAGACCCUAUAGAGCUUUAUUUAAUUUAAAUGUUAAAUUUUACUGGGGCAGUAUAAGAAAAAAAAAACUUCUUAUAUUAAAUAUUUUUAAUAAAACAUACAAUCAUUUAUAUUUAAGAAAAAAAAGCUACCUUAGGGAUAACAGCGUUAUAUAUUUGAAGAGAUCUUAUCAAUAAAUUAUCUUGCGACCUCGAUGUUGAAUUAAAUUAAAUUAAUUAAGAAGAAUUAAU